CAGUAGCCGCGGUAAUACGUAGGUGGCAAGCGUCGUCCGGAAUUAUUGGGCGUAAAGGGCUUGCAGGCGGUUUCUUAAGUCUGAUGUGAAAGCCCCCGGCUCAACCGGGGAGGGUCAUUGGAAACUGGGAAACUUGAGUGCAGAAGAGGAGAGUGGAAUUCCACGUGUAGCGGUGAAAUGCGUAGAGAUGUGGAGGAACACCAGUGGCGAAGGCGACUCUCUGGUCUGUAACUGACGCUGAGGAGCGAAAGCGUGGGGAGCGAACAGGAUUAGAUACCCGCGUAGUCCCUGUCUCUUAUAC
rnacentral:rRNA from 1 species